CACAGAGGUCAGCCCCUUUCCNUUGAAACCAUUAAGACAAUAUCCUGAGUGUCUGCGCCCCCAUCAUCACAUUUGCCCACUGAAAUUGUUANUCCCAUGUUAGUAUUCCUACUGUCAGGGCUGUGGUCAGGAGAAAGGUGAGCAGGCUCCAGGGCACUCUGUUCUGACUUAGUUUGCAGGGGUUAUGACAUGGAUCUCAGAGNGUGGUAAUGGGUGUACACAUGCCAUUGCUAGGUACAGGGAAAGCAGAACCGNGGGGCUGGUACAGGGGCUGCCAGGGCAUUUCUAGGUAGUAGGAGGUAGAAAGUACAGGGUAGUCCACCCGAGACUCAGUGCAGAGAGGAGACCUGAGCUGUGUGUGGAUACACACAGGUAUUUCAAGAUUCCUGUGAGCUACGGCCACAGAUGCAUGUACUCAGAGAUUACAACCUUUAUCUGACUGUGGGAGGGUCUGUAGGGACUGUGACCCUAGAUCUCACAUCAUGGUUUGGAGCCCAUGUGUAGUUGAAGACCAAACUGACGCUCCACUAGACCCAUGGGAACCCUAGAGUGGCUGGGUCAUGAGCCAUGCUUUCAAGUGGGAGUAGGGGGCCUUUUAUCCCUGACCUGGUCUACUGGGCCACCUUGCCGAGAGUUACAAGGUGAGACCAUGGGGUGUUCAAGAUGGAUCACGAGAGCUUCAUUGAGAGCAGAGCUUUCCCNACCUACACAGGCAGGAGCGGCUCAGGAAGGUGUAAGUGGUGUGGGCAUGGGCCUGCUCCUAGUUCUAGUGUGAACAAGAAAGAAGGGAAUGGAGGUUGCAGACCCCAGCCCCUAGUGAUUGGUAGUCUAAAUGGUCCUUCCCCCAAAUAGGCUGGUCAGAGGCUCUCAAUGCCCAGCACCCAGGACUANACACACUGGCCUUUAUUCUCAAGAAGCCUCUGGGACCUCCUCUGUGGGACAGACUUGCAGUCCCCCACUACCCCUGGUGGGAUUCCCAGAAGAGUGUGAAAUGAGUCCUUUGUGCUGGGACCACCAUCUCAUUCUUGAAAACAAGCCCCAAGCAGCAGAAGAUAAAAGGGAGGGGAAAAGACUUUAGGGCGGGCCUAGUGACAUCAGGGAAGGGAACCUUUUCUAAGUUCCAGCCUUGUCACAGCAAGACCAAGAGGCAUUGGAAAGUGAGGAACACUAUCCUUGGAGCAGGAGGUUAGUGACUCAUUUAUGGCCCUGGGGCUGGGUGCAUGAGGGGGCUACCAGAGAAUCCACUGGGGAGAGACUGGGAAAAUUGAUAAGGCCCCACAAGUUGAGGGACUCAAGUGCAGCCUGGAGACCUGAGCAUCUUNUCCAGAUCCUAUGAGGGUUUNAGAUGACACUUGGAACUAAGGACAUGCAAAAAGGGCUGGUGGGCAGCAGAAGGGAACUUAAUGUCCAUCAGCUGUGACCUCCCUGGCCAUGAAGUAGGGAGGGGUCUGGCUUCAGANUGAGUCCAGAAGGCAGGGCCAUUUCUGUGGCACUUCGUAGGCAGAUGGAACAGUGGUCCAUAGCACUGACACCUUAGUUUAAAUUUUCUGGAUGGAUGCAUAUAUACACUCUAGAGCAGUAGUCCUCAAUUUUCCUAAUGCUGUGGCCCUUUAAAAAGUUCCGCAUGUUGUGGUGACCCUCAGUCAUGAAAUUAUUUUUGUUGCUACCUCAUAACUAUGGUUUUACUACUAUUAUGAAUGAUAAUGUAAAAAAAAUCUGUGUUUUCCAAUCAUCUUUGGUAAUCCCUAUGAAAGGGUCAUUAGAUGUCCCUACCCCCACCCCAACACACACACAAGGUUAACUACUGUUCUAGGGUGUAUCAGCCUGUAGCCUUCCUACUGGUCUUGGCUCUGCUCACAGAGCUGGCUUCUCUGCAGAGGUAACCCUUGAGUAUACAGGAAUGCAGGUGCUUUGUUCAGGGCUGGGGUGGGGAUCUGGGUUCCUCAGGCUCACGAAUUCCAGGCUGGGUCAUGCUUGUGUUCCCUCCUCCAAAGUGCUACCCUGAGGUGGUGGACUCUACCCCAUUGGCCUCUCUUUCAAGNNNNNNNNNNNNNNNNNNNNNNNNNNNNNNNNNNNNNNNNNNNNNNNNNNNNNNNNNNNNNNNNNNNNNNNNNNNNNNNNNNNNNNNNNNNNNNNNNNNNNNNNNNNNNNNNNNNNNNNNNNNNNNNNNNNNAGAGGGUACUUGAGCACACAAGGAGAUUUUGUAGCUGAGGGUCUUUUGUUCAGUGAGAUGCCUCAGUAUGGCUUCAGUCUUCAUCAACAUCUCCAUAAUGACAAGUUAUAGGCCUNUGGGCUUUGCUUUUGUCUGUAGGGACAUCCUGCUGGUCCAUGGGAAUGGAUGCAGAACUAGCUNUCUUGUCAGGGAGGAGGGUAAGAGUUCUUUAAGUGGUGAAGGGCUUUGACCUCUCCUCCCACAGGCUNUGCAGUAUGAGCCUCCAAGGCUCCUACCUCCGCUUCUGCCUCUGGAUGUUCUUGGGUACCACGUUGGCACUGGGGCAGGGACAAGGUAAGGAGGCAAUGCCCCCACUGCCUGCAAGAGGAACUCUGCUACAAGCCUCUGACUUGCCAUCACAGGCAUUUUCCUGUAGUAAAUGCCAGCCUGAGAGCUGUUGUAGCAACAGGCAAGCUGGUAGAGCAGAGAAGAAAACCCUUGCUCUUGCCUUGACCUUGUGGUACUUCAGCCUUACUUAGGGAGGCUUUUUUGCCUAAGUUAUUUCAAGAUUACUGGCAUUCUCCAAAUUUGAUCCUUUAUGCCUUGCAUAGUUAUUCUGUAAAAUUUUCAAUCUGGUUUCAUAUACUACACAAAUGGCUUAAUAGAGAUCAAUAUUCCUGCCUCUUCCCUCCCAAGGAAAAAAAGCCUUCCUAUUCUGUCUUAGAAGGGUAGUGUAUCUCUCUUCUCUGUACAUGUCUUGGGGCAAGAGUUUCCAUCUGGUCCCUUCCUAUUUGGCUAUUCCAGGCAGGCUCCCCCUGGGAAAGUCUCUCGUAGUAUUUCUAUGACCUCCAAGGGAUGUGCACAGGACUUGGGGAGNAUCUGUGUUGCAGACUCCUUCCUGUGGAGCUGCUGGCUCAGGUGGGCAUGUUUCUGUGUGCCCAUAGCCUUCACANUCAUGACUACAUCUAGCUCCCAGGAACAAUAUAGUAUAUUCCUCAUGA
ensembl:sense_overlapping